GUCUUAAAUUAGAGGGACAAAGGUUUAAAAAUAAUAUCAGGAAGUAUUACUUUACUGAGAGUGUAGUGGAUGCAUGGAAUAGUCUUCCAGCUGAAAAGGUUAACACAGUAAAGGAGUUUAAGCAUGCGUGGGAUAGGCAUAAGGCUAUCCUAACUAUAAGAUAAGGCUAGGGACUAAUGAAAGUAUUUAGAAAACUGGGCAGACUAGAUGGGCCGAAUGGUUCUUAUCUGCCGUCACAUUCUAUGUUUCUAUGUUCUCACUCAUUUAAGAGAGGCAGGGAUUAAACUGUCUUUACAAAAGGCGCAAUGGUGUCGC